rnacentral:misc_RNA from 2 species
CAACCCUCGAACCCCUCCGGGGGUCCGGCGUUGGGGAUCGGGAACCCCUAAGACGGGAUCCCGGCCCCGAAAUACAGUGGCGGUCUCGCCGCAGCCUCUCCUGCGCAGUAGUUUGCACAACUCGCACCGGGAGCGCGGCGCGUCCAUUGCCGUAAAACACCCAACUUUCUGAAA